rfam:Diplodia seriata DS_831_scaffold_v01_103, whole genome shotgun sequence.
GGCAUAGUGCCAGAGUGGUUAAUGGGUCAGACUUGAAUGCAGCUGCAUUUAGUCAUCUGAUGGCUUCGGCCUCGCAAGUUCGAAUCUUGUCUAUGUCG